UAGGUCAAACCAGAGAAAACCCCCAGCUCCAACCUCAGUUAACUGUCUCACACUUUCCCCCCACAUUCUGGAAUCUUUUCUCUGCAUCUGCAUCUCCCUGCAGACCCUCCUCAUCUGCAAUCUUACUUCUAACAACCCUCACUUUCCUUGUAGACAGCUAUCUUGGGCACUCGUACCAACUCCACCACCUAGGAGGGCAUAAAGAUUUAGCCAGGGAAAUCUAACUGCACAUCAAUACAAAGAACUCAGAAAACCUAGAUCUAUGGGUGGGAAGGGACCCCAGAGACCAACCAGUCUUGCCUGCCCUUAACCAAGAAUCUCUCUUCUUUAUUCCCAAUAAAUUGCUAUUAAGCCUGUACUUAAAACCUCUAUUGGAAUAGAAACAAAGGCAAUGUCUUGCACUUUUGAGGGUAAUUUUUUCAUCCUCUUUAUGAACACCCCAUUGUUCCUAGCUUGACCCUCUGGAGGCCUCUGAUGUUCUGAAAUAAACAAGGUAUUCCCAAAGAUCAAGUGUAAACUCUCCCCAAACUUGUCAUUUCAGACAUACUAUGCUUCAUUUCCACUUGAGCAGCAUGGAGCAGGGGGAAGAGGGUUAGACAUGGAAUUUGAAAAACCAAAGUUUAAAUCCCACCUCAGAUGAUUGCAAGCUGUGCAACUGGGGACAAGACUUCUAUUAAAACAAUCCCCAAAAUAUCUUUUGGAAGAGGAUUUUUUCAGCCUGCUGAAGUUGCCCAGGUCCUACAGGCUUCCUUGAACUACUUUUGAUAAUAGCUUUGAUAAAGCUUUGAAUGAAAAAGUGAAUUUCAUCUUUUCCCAAUCUUUAGUAUUCCACUAUAUAUAUAUAUUGCUUUUUUCCAUGAUAAACAUUUUAUCUUUCUAGUGAUAAUUAAAAGCUGUUGGAGGGGUUUUUUGUUUGUUUCUUUGUUUGGUUUGGGUUUUUUGGUCUUUUAACUAUUCUUCUAACUUCAAGAAGCCUAUGCCAUAUUGUAGAGCUAUCAAGAACAAUCUUUCCUUGAGGGAAGUUAAGUGGCUCAGUGGAUUGAAAGCCAUGCUCAGAGAUGAGAGGUCCUGUAUUAAAAUCUGACCUCAGACACUUCCUAGCUGUGUGACUCUGGGCAAGCCACUUAACCCCAUUGCCUAGCCCUUACCAUUCUUCUUCCUUGGAACCAAUAACAGUAUUGAUUCUAAGAUGGAAGGUAAGGGUUUAAAAAAAAAAAAAGAACAACCUUUCCAGCUACUGAGUCCCUCUGAAGAUCUUUGUUUAUUUUCUAAAGAUUAAUGAGGCUGGUUUAUAGCACUAACUUGUCAAUUCUUAAUGUUUGUUUGUAGUUUUGUUUUGUUUUGUUUUCAUUUUCAACCCUACUUUCUUUUGCUUUCUAUGUAAUUGAUCCUAUUUUAUUGCCCAUUAGAAUGACACUUGAAAUGGUAUUGUUGAGAAAAAACAGUAACAAAGUUUAUUUGGAAGAACAAAAGAUCAAG
rnacentral:lncRNA from 1 species